rnacentral:misc_RNA from 1 species
AUAUAUCAACCUUCUCUUGUUGAGUGGUUUGGAUGUGGGGGUUUGCUGGCCUUUUUAAAGGUUUUUUAGCUCUCCUAAAAUACAUUAGCAGAACAACCCUGUUCAUUGGUGUGAUAACUAUCUACGCUAUUGAAUGUGAAAGGGGCAGUUUGGCUUUCUAACAGUCCUUCUUGGACAGCUCAUCUUUA